rnacentral:misc_RNA from 1 species
UUAUUAAAUUAUUUUUGUUCAGCUUCAGACUUUUAUAAAAAGGUUUGUUGGAUAAUCUUCUGGAGGACGAGAAGCAAAGAACUCUUCACUCCCCGUUUUAAACCUCCAGAAGAGGUGACGACAACAGUGCACAGAGGGUUGAUAUGGAUGUAAAUCACCCAUAAGGUGAAUUUGUUAAUGAUCCUUCCGCAGGUUCACCUACGGAAA